rnacentral:rRNA from 1 species
UACGUAGGUGGCAAGCGUUGUCCGGAAUUACUGGGCGUAAAGGGCGCGUAGGCGGCCUGUUAAGUCGAACGUGAAAUCCCCGGGCUCAACCCGGGAACUGCGUCUGAAACUGGCAGGCUUGAAUCCGGGAGAGGGAUGUGGAAUUCCAGGUGUAGCGGUGAAAUGCGUAGAUAUCUGGAGGAACAUCGGUGGCGAAGGCGACAUCCUGGACCGGUAUUGACGCUGAGGCGCGAAAGCCAGGGGAGCAAACGGG